GACGAACGCUGGCGGCGUGCUUAACACAUGCAAGUCGAACGGAAAGGCCCAGCUUGCUGGGUACUCGAGUGGCGAACGGGUGAGUAACACGUGGGUGAUCUGCCCCAAACUUCGGGAUAAGCCUGGGAAACUGGGUCUAAUACCGGAUAUGACCUGCUCCUGCAUGGGGGUUGGUGGAAAGCUUUUGCGGUUUGGGAUGGGCCCGCGGCCUAUCAGCUUGUUGGUGGGGUAAUGGCCUACCAAGGCGACGACGGGUAGCCGACCUGAGAGGGUGAUCGGCCACACUGGGACUGAGACACGGCCCAGACUCCUACGGGAGGCAGCAGUGGGGAAUAUUGCACAAUGGGCGCAAGCCUGAUGCAGCGACGCCGCGUGAGGGAUGACGGCCUUCGGUUGUAAACGUCUUUCGUCCAGGACGAAGACGCAAGUGACGGUACCUGGAGAAGAAGCACCGGCCAACU
rnacentral:rRNA from 1 species